UAAUCUGGUUGAUCCUGCCAGUAGUCAUAUGCUUGUCUCAAAGAUUAAGCCAUGCAUGUCUAAGUAUAAAUAGUAUACAGUGAAACUGCGAAUGGCUCAUUAAAACAGUUAUAGUUUAUUUGAUAAUGGAAGGCUACAUGGAUAACCGUGGUAAUUCUAGAGCUAAUACAUGCUGUCAAACCUGACUUCAUGAAAGGUUGUAUUUAUUAGAUAUAAGCCAAUAGUCCUCGGACUUUUGUGGUGAAUCAUAGUAACUGAUCGAAUCUCCAACUGGAGAUAAAUCAUUUCAUUCAAGUUUCUGCCCUAUCAGCUUUCGAUGGUAGUGUAUUGGACUACCAUGGCGGUAACGGGUAACGGAGAAUUAGGGUUCGGUUCCGGAGAGGGAGCCUGAGAAACGGCUACCACAUCUAAGGAAGGCAGCAGGCGCGUAAAUUACCCAAUCCUGAUUCAGGGAGGUAGUGACAAGAAAUAACAACCUGGGGACCUCAUGGUCUUACGGGAUUGCAAUGAGAACAAUUUAAACGACUUAACGAGGAACAAUUAGAGGGCAAGUCUGGUGCCAGCAGCCGCGGUAAUUCCAGCUCUAAUAGUGUAUAUUAAUGUUGUUGCAGUUAAAAAGCUCGUAGUUGAACUUCUGGCUGUUGCUGGCGUUGGCUUCGGUCAUGCCAGUAGCGGUCAUCCGUCUGCGAACCGUAUUAGCACUUCAGUGGGCGGUGCGGGGAGUAGACAUUUUACCUUGAAAAAAUUAGAGUGUUUCAGGCAGGCCUUUGCCCGAAUACAUUAGCAUGGAAUAAUGGAAUAGGACUCGUCCUUUUUGUUGGUUAUUGGUUACGAGUAACGAGUAAUGAUUAAUAGGGACAGUUGGGGGCAUUAGUAUUUAAUUGUCAGAGGUGAAAUUCUUGGAUUUAUUAAAGACUAACUUAUGCGAAAGCAUUUGCCAAGGAUGUUUUCAUUAAUCAAGAACGAAAGUUAGGGGAUCAAAGACGAUCAGAUACCGUCCUAGUCUUAACUAUAAACUAUGCCGACUUGGUCUCCGUCAAGCCUCUUUAAUUUGAUUUGGGUGCCGUAUGAGAAAUCAAAGUCUUUGGGUUCCGGGGGGAGUAUGGUCGCAAGGUUGAAACUUAAAGGAAUAGACGGAACAUCACUACCAGGUGUGGAUCCUGCGGCUUAAUUUGACUCAACACGGGGAAACUUACCAGCGCAAAACAAGGGUGGGAUUGACAGAUUGAGAGCUCUUUCUUGAUUCUUUGGGUGGUGGUGCAUGGCCGUUCUUAGUUGGUGGAGUGAUUUGUCUGCUUAAUUGCGUUAACGAACGAGACCUCAACCU
rnacentral:rRNA from 1 species